CCUACGGGAGGCAGCAGUGGGGAAUAUUGCACAAUGGGGGAAACCCUGAUGCAGCGACGCCGCGGGAGUGAAGAAGUAAUUCGUGAUGUAAAGCUCUAUCAGCAGGGAAGAAAAGGACGGUACCUGAGUAAGAAGCCCCGGCUAACGACGUGCCAGCAGCCGCGGUAAUACGUAGGGGGCAAGCGUGAUCCGGAGUUACUGGGUGUAAAGGGAGCGUAGACGGGAGGGCAAGUCUGGAGGGAAAGGCGGGGGCUCACCCCCCGGACGGCUCGGGAAACUGUACGGCUGGAGUGCAGGAGAGGUCAGUGGCCUUCCUCUUGUAGCGGUGACCUGCGUAGAUAUUAGGCGGACCUCCAGUGGCGCAGGCGGCUUACUGGACUGUAACUGCCGUUGAGGCUCGAUCGCGUGGGGAGCCAACCGGAUUAGCUACCCCGGUAGUC
rnacentral:rRNA from 1 species